CCCAGGCUGGAGUGUGGUGGAAAGAUCAGAGCUCACUGCAGCCUCCAACUUGCUGGCUCAAGUGAUCCUCCCACCUCAGCGCCCCGAGCAGCUGGGACCACAGGUGUGGACUAACACACCUGGCUGGUCUUUUUGAUUUUUAGUAGAGAUGAGGUCUCACUAUGUUGCCCCGGCUGAUUUCGAAUUCCUGGGCUUAAGCGAUCCUCCCUCCUUGGCCUCUCAAAGUGCUGGGAUUACAGGCAUGGUGGCGGGCGCCUGUAGUCCCAGCUACUCGGGAGGCUGAGGCAGGAGAAUGGCGUGAACCCGGGAGGCGGAGCUUGCAAUGAGCCGAGAUCGCGCCACUGCACUCCAGCCUGGGCGACAGAGCAAGACUCCGUCUCAAAAAAAAAAAAAAAAAAAAAAAAAUAUAUAUAUAUAUAUAUAUAUAAACUUAAAAUGGACAGGAAGCAUCCCUGUGAUAUUAGGGGUAAUAUCACGGCACAUCAGAAACUAUCCACCAAUUAGUACCCGGAGAAUCUAGUCCUGCAGGGCAAGAGGAUGACAGCAGACAACACCUGGGGUCCAGCUGAGGAGAAAGCCAGGACGCGCCCCCUCGAGACCCUGCCCUUCAAAACACCACUUCCAGACCUUGCCCUCAAGAUGACGAUCACCCUCUGGCCCGGCCUCCAGGCAGCCUCCUCAUUCUUGCCCCGCCCAGAUUC
rnacentral:sRNA from 1 species